CAGAGAAUGUAACCUAAGAGAUUCUGGAACACAAAGUCAUAUUUAUUUUUCUUCUUCAAAGGUUCAAAGAAAGGCACCUGAAGAUGGCAAUUGAAAAGACCUCCCCAGGAGUUAAAAUAAACAGCACAACUAUUGUACUGAGGCAGAUUAUAUACUUGAACUGCUUAUGACUUUUUUCAAAAGUCAGCUCCAUUGUAUGUUGUUGUGGAAACUGUUCAGCUUCCGAUGGGGCAGAGUGGUGAGGAGGAAAACAAAUACGCCAUCCUCAUGUAAAGAAAAUGGACUGCACUGAAUACUUUCAAACCUGAAGAAUGGGCUUUGAACCACAGGGAUCAUGGGUGUCCUCAAGGCAACUGUUGUUCUGCACCUACGGUGGGACAAAAGUCAAAUCUUUAUGUUAAUAUUUACAUCUAUCA
rnacentral:lncRNA from 1 species